rnacentral:lncRNA from 1 species
CUCAGGGCAUAACUGCAACGAUGGACAGACAGACAAGAUGUCAAACCUUGCAUGAAAGAGGAUCAAACUGAGGCUCUGAGGGGUGUGGUGACUUUCCCGUGGAUACAAACCAGCUAAGAAGCUCACACGAGAGACACACAUGGCCCUUGUAACUGUGAGUUCAGAGCUCUUUCUGAACCACAGCUGCCUCCUGGUUUAUUGUAGUCAUUCAUCAUACAUCCACAUCAGCCAAAGGCAGACUCCCCAUCUGCUCCUUGCCUAGCCUGUCAAUCUCUCAGGAUAUGACCUUAGCUGCAAGGAAGGAGACAGGAGAAAUUCUGCCAUCACCAGAACCCCAGUUGACCUGAAUGUCUAGAGAGAAAAGUCAGAGGCAAAGCACUCAGUGGAAAUGGCUGUCAGCAGCCUGGAAAAGGAAAUUUAGGUGCCGAGGUCUGACACAAACCAGAGAAUCAGCAGCUUUGCAAGUUCAGCAGGGGUGCUGGGGCUGUGGACAUGUGGCAUUCUGUGACAGAGAGUGUCACUAAAUUUCUCUGAGGAGCUUACAAGAGAUUAGAGACUUGUCAGAAAAUGGGGAAUGUUUUAAGCCAAAUAAAAGGGCUUAGAAAGUAGAUGGACAUGUAUAAUUAAAAGAAACAAAGAUGCUUUGAAAUCAAUGUAAUGAGCCACAUUUUG